rnacentral:rRNA from 1 species
AUGGUGGAGAGUUUGAUCCUGGCUCAGGAUCAACGCUGGCGGCGUGCCUAAUGCAUGCAAGUCGAGCGGGGCGGCCUUCGGGUCGCUUACGCGGCGGACGGGUGCGGAACACGUGGGCAACCUGCCCCGAGGUGGGGGAUAGCCGGUGGAAACACCGGGUAAUUCCGCAUACGGUCGUCAGUCGGGAGACUGACGAGGAAAGGGUUUUCGGACCCGCCUUGGGAGGGGCCUGCGGCCGAUUAGC